UGUUGGCUUAGUUAGGGGGCGCAAACUAAAUCGAGGGCUCCCUGGUCAGACUAUAAGAUCUGAUAUGGGGGUGUCUUCUCCAAAGACCUUUUGAGGGGACUACUUGUUCCUCAACCUCAAUAGUCCUCCAAGCAGUCUUGGACAUCA